GAUGCCAGCUAGCGAUCCGCCAAAGUUCCUCCGAUGACUUGGUGGGCAGCUUCCGGGAAACCAAAGCAUUUGGGUUCCGGGGGAAGUAUGGUUGCAAAGCUGAAACUUAAAGGAAUUGACGGAAGGGCACCACCAGGAGUGGAGCCUGCGGCUUAAUUUGACUCAACACGGGAAACCUCACCAGGCCCGGACACCGGAAGGAUUGACAGAUUGAGAGCUCUUUCUUGAUUCGGUGGGUGGUGGUGCAUGGCCGUUCUUAGUUGGUGGAGCGAUUUGUCUGGUUAAUUCCGAUAACGAACGAGACUCUAGCCUACUAAAUAGACGUACUUUAUUACCGGCAUCUCAAGGCCCAUCGGCUGUAU
rnacentral:rRNA from 1 species